rnacentral:rRNA from 1 species
GGCUCAGAAUCAACGCUGGCGGCGCGCCUAACACAUGCAAGUCGAACGGGAAAGUGGAGCAAUCCAUGAGUACAGUGGCGUACGGGUGAGUAACACGUGGGUAAUCUACCUCUUAGUGGGGAAUAACCCUGGGAAACCGGGGCUAAUACCGCAUAAGCCUGAGAAGGGAAAGUCGCAAGACGCUGAGAGAGGAGCCCGCGGCCGAUUAGCUAGUUGGCAGGGUAAGAGCCUACCAAGGCGAAGAUCGGUAGCCGGCCUGAGAGGGCACACGGCCACACUGGCACUGAAACACGGGCCAGACUCCUACGGGAGGCAGCAGUGGGGAAUCUUGCACAAUGGGGGAAACCCUGAUGCAGCGACGCCGCGUGAGCGAUGAAGUCCUUCGGGGCGUAAAGCUCUUUCGGCAGGGAAGAUUAUGACGGUACCUGCAGAAGCAGCUGCGGCUAACUACGUGCCAGCAGCCGCGGUAAUACGUAGGCAGCAAGCGUUGUUCGGAGUUACUGGGCGUAAAGGGUGUGUAGGCGGUUGUUUAAGUUUGGUGUGAAAUCUCCCGGCUCAACUGGGAGGGUGCGCCGAAUACUGAAUGACUAGAGUGCGGGAGAGGAGAGUGGAAUUCCUGGUGUAGCGGUGAAAUGCGUAGAUAUCAGGAGGAACACCGGCGGUGUAGACGGCUCUCUGGACCGCGACUGACGCUGAGACACGAAAGCGUGGGUAGCAAACAGGAUUAGAUACCCUGGUAGUCCACGCCCUAAACGAUGCAUAUUUGGUGUGGGUCAUUCAGUUGAUCCGUGCCGGAGCUAACGCGUUAAAUAUGCCGCCUGGGGAGUACAGUCGCAAGGCUGAAACUCAAAG